UGGGGAAUAUUGCGCAAUGGGCGAAAGCCUGACGCAGCGACGCCGCGUGAGGGAUGAAGGUUUUCGGAUCGUAAACCUCUGUCAGAAGGGAAGAAACCGCACUGUGCUAAUCAGCAGUGCCUUGACGGUACCUUCAAAGGAAGCACCGGCUAACUCCGUGCCAGCAGCCGCGGUAAUACGGAGGGUGCAAGCGUUAAUCGGAAUUACUGGGCGUAAAGCGCACGUAGGCUGCUUUGUAAGUCAGGGGUGAAAUCCCACGGCUCAACCGUGGAACUGCCUUGGAUACUGCUUAGCUUGAAUCCGGGAGAGGGUGGCGGAAGUCCAGGUGUAGGAGUGAAAUCCGUAGAUAUCUGGAGGAACAUCAGUGGCGAAGGCGGCCACCUGGACCGGUAUUGACGCUGAGGUGCUAAAGCGUGGGGAGCAAACAGG
rnacentral:rRNA from 1 species